UGUUACGCCGAGCGUGUGACGCCAUUUCCGGUGCUGCGAUGGUGGUGGAUUUGAGUCCGCGUGAACUGAACAGUCAGAGCUGUUUCAGAGAGAAACAACAACUGUCAGCUUUGGUUAGCAAGACGUUUGUGAAGGCUGUGAUCCAGAAAAUGACUCGUGUCCAGUGUGAACAACUGCUGCUGUUCCUCAUGGAUAAUCACACACAACCUUUUUACUUAAACAUUGUCUCUUAGAAUUCUGUGUGAUUCACACUAAAUUUCAUCCUUUAUCUUCCCUACAUUCAGACCCCAUUAUCACUGACAGAGGCUGUGAGGAAGACACUACGACCCUUGCAGCAAGGGAGGGAUCUAGAUAAUGUAGCACGGUUCACAUUCUGUAAUCAGGUGUCGCCCCAGCAGUAUGAGGAUGACAAAGAUAAAGCCACUCUCUACAGUUUGAAGCAGUUAAUGCAUCAGAUUGUUCACAGUGACGGUCUGUCCGUCAAACAGAAGAGAUGACUGGCCAAACACUUCCAGAGACAUCACACAGUGAUUUUCCUCCAGCACUUAUUUUCUUCAUUCUAGAAACACUGCAUACAACUGAUCUGUUAGUCCAUGAAUUUGCAAGUAGACUCUGAUUCGUACAAGCUUUAUAAGCAGGACUGUUGUUAGAAAUAUUAAUUUAAUGAAGAAACUGCUAAUCACUACUGUACACUAUUUCAUCUGGUGAGUUUCAGGAGUGUUUUAUGAACAUAUCAGUGUAGAAUUACUUGAAUUGUGUGAAAUGCUCAGGGUUUUUUUUUUAAAGCUAUUAGAAAUACUUGUAGCUGCACUUGAAAUCAAGAUAUAGAUACCUAUGCCUUAAAGGCAGAGAUUUGAGUUAUCACUUAUUUACUUUAUUCUUGCAAUGGCUGCGAGCGCAGAUGAUUUAAAUUAAUGUUGACCUCGUAUAUUACUGUUCUCAAUAUAUAAGUCUCAACUUCUGGUUUUGACUGUCAAAUCAUAAAUGCACUAUGUUCAUUGUGGUGUUACAUAUUGAUGGUAUUUAUUAAUAAGUAAUUGAACAGAAGGUGAAUGGCAUACCUUACAAAUUAUUGUAAUUGCAUUAAAAUUAUUUUUUUUAUAUGCACUUAAAUUUUCCUGAUAUUUUAAACUUAUUAAAAUUAAUUCGGAACUCUCA